rnacentral:tRNA from 1 species
GCUUUCGUGGUGUAGUGGUCAGCACGCUCGACGCAUAACCGAGACUCCGUGGUUCGAUUCCCGGCAAAGGCA